ACCGGCGGCUCGAGUGGUAACCGUUAUUAUUGGGUCUAAAGGGUCUGUAGCCGGCCGGAUAAGUCUCUUGGGAAAUCCAGCAGCUUAACUGUUGGGCUUUCAGGAGAUACUGUCUGGCUCGAGGCCGGGAGAGGUGAGAGGUACUUCAGGGAUAGGGGUGAACCCGUGUCAUCCUUGAAGGACCAGCAGUAACUAAGGGGUCGCACCCGAACGGGCUUGACGUCAAGGGACUUAAGCUACUUGAACGAACCG
rnacentral:rRNA from 1 species